UACGGAGGGGGCUAGCGUUGUUCGGAAUUACUGGGCGUAAAGCGCGCGUAGGCGGAUUGGAAAGUCAGAGGUGAAAUCCCAGGGCUCAACCGUGGAACUGCCUUUGAAACUCCCAGUCUGGAGUUCGAGAGAGGUGAGUGGAAUUCCGAGUGUAGAGGUGAAAUUCGUAGAUAUUCGGAGGAACACCAGUGGCGAAGGCGGCUCCCCGGCCCUGUACUGACGCUGAGGCGCGAAAGCGUGGGGAGCAAACAGG
rnacentral:rRNA from 1 species